rnacentral:lncRNA from 1 species
AAUCAAGAAUUAUCAACAGAGUCAAGCCAAGGCAAAUGUGCAAGCAAUCCAGAGACAUAUCACACACAAGAAAGAUCAUCAAAUGGCUCAAAUCUCACAUAGGUAAUCGGUCACAAUCAAUCCAACUCUCAAACAUCAUGAUUAUCUUCCAAGCAAAGAAGAGCAAGGAGUCCAACAAAACAGAGUAUCAAUGCAGUGAAGGGAAACUAGCAACCUAAUCACAGUCCAGAAUUCAGAAAAAGCAUGCAAAAUUGUACACAAGACUCAACAAAAUUCACUAGAAAACGAAAUCUAAACAAAGAACAACCUCCCCUAAUAGACCACACUUAAACGACACAAUGUCCUCAGUGUGUCACAANCAGCAGAUCAACAAUCAGCACAGUCAGCAGAUAUAGACAAAGUGCAAUAAAAGUGAGGAGGGAAGGAGAAAAG